AGAUGCAGAAAAACAGCGAUGGGACAUUGUGCGGCCUACGGUUUAAGGAAACACUUCAACAAAAGGAGAAUUGAAGACCCGGCUACCGUCUGGGCCACAAGAAAAAUACGCAUCAAAAAUGAUUUCAAACCACGUCCGUAGCAACAUCUUCCUGUUACACCGACGGACUUGUACCCCGGCAGCAGCAUCACCAGAACACCAGAUAUAAUCCUCGGCAGGAUUAUAUCCAUAAUCCCGAUCCUUGCUUAAGGUGAUUAUAUACAGAAGCCACACC